AAGUCGUAACAAGGUUUCCGUAGGUGAACCUGCGGAAGGAUCAUUACAAGUCGAGUGGGGUGGGGAGCUUUUUCCCGACACCAUGUUUACCCGUUUGUUGGUUUGACAGAGUCAGAUGGUGACGGCAAUGCUUAGACAACUUUUAACAAUGGAUCUCUUGGCUCUU
rnacentral:misc_RNA from 1 species